AUGCCGAGAAGACAGACAACAGUUAUGGUGCCUAUGAUUCUGAUGUCAUUGGACUCGUCUACUAUCAGAGUAUCACUCUCCUGAAAGCAGUGAGAAAUGUUAAUAGAACCAGUAUUUCUCUGCCCAACUGGUGGGAUCAAGUAACAAGCAAAAUCAUUUACUCGUCUUCCAAGGAGUGGCUGAAAUGUAAGGAGUGUUAUAAAGAAGGCAUUAAACUGAAGGCAUCCACUGAUGUGCAUCAGUAUUUAAAAUGAGAGGAAGAGGUGUCUCCGUGCUCAGUUUGUUGAAGGAUGUCCAACCUGGAAUGCUCUGAAUAGGAAAGACCAGCUGAAAGAAUGGUUUAGUCUUCAUCUCUCCUGGGGCUAAAGAUGAUGAGCUCAUCAAGUCUCCAUAACAAGUGUGGAGAAUAGCCAAGAGGAAGAAAGAAUAAGCUCUGCAGACCGAAGUGAUUUGCCCAAGGUCACCAAGGGAGACCCAGGACAGCCAGGCACAGACUCCAGCCCUGAUAAUGGCACCUCGUUUGUUCCAGGGCUGUGGUCAGUGGCUCCCACACCAGGGCCACAACUCACAUAAGGGCACAGCAGGUUGCCAGUGUAACAAAAAUCCCAUUACCUCUGACAUUCACCUUCCUGUUUUGAAAGGCAUAAGAUUAUCCUUCUGUAAGCUGAAUACUGGAAAAUGUAUGGAAAUGACCAAGCUAGAUGAUGCUCUUUUUCUCAUCCCUAACAGUCCCAACCUGUGAAGCAAUUCUCCCUUCAUUUUAUUCUGUGAUAUCAUCUGCCUUCUUUUUAACCUUCUCUAAGUUGAAAGCCUUAAAAAAACCUAAACAAAGUUAUCUAAUUGUGUUUAAAAUAUACAAACUUUUAAGAGAUGCAGCAGUAAAAAACAUGGAAUUUUCUGGUUAUGAUCAAAACUGAAAAUUCCUUAAUAUGCUUAUGUUCAGUACCUGAUCAUUCAGCAUUAUGUUCAAAGCCAAGACACUAUUUUACUCCUCUCUGGCCACUACUGAAGUAAAUUAUUUCUAUAAGAGGAAGUUUUCUUCUGGGCAUAGAAAUGUGUUUAGUCUCUUGAGCAGCAGUUUGUACAUCUGCAAAGGAAUACAGAUACCAAAUUCAUAUUUUUUCCCUUUUAUAUCCACUUCGCAUUCGUCUUUGGAAAUGCUUCUCCUUUCCAUGUAAGCCAUUUUACACAGGUCUGUGGAGACCUUAAUUUAGGUAAGUUAGGCCAAGGCUAGGAAGCUGCCCUAAUAAGAUCCUAAAGAAUUGGGUCCUAAUUUGCUAAUGGCUAUUUUUCUUCUUGAUUUCAUUAUUUUAUAUUACCCUCCUUAGGACAGGUGAAUCUGCAGAGAGUGGAAGUCUGAAUAAGAUCUGGACCAGCAUCCAAAAAUCAGAUGCUUGUCCAGAUUAUUCAGACCUCAGAAGUAUGUAAAACUGAGUGGAAUGGGGAUAAGAGCUUGUUUUCUCUCAAAAUUUCUCAUUUCACAAUUGGCCAACACAGAAAAAAGAAUGGGGAUUUUUGCUGCAUGUUGGCACUUUUAGUCUCAGCUUGACUAUAGCAAUGAUCUCUCUCCAGCCCUGCCCUGAUAAGUGGACAAUUAAGAACCUCAAAAAACGUUUCUGAUUCUGAAGGUAGCUGUAUCCUUCCCGUGUCUCUGCUUUUUACAGAGAACUUGGUAUUGUGGCUUAAGGGGGAAGAUAUGGCUUAUGAAGUCAGUAGAGUAACGUGUUAUUCCACUGUUUUGUAGUAGGUCUUUUAGUAGUUUAACUGUUUCAAAGUGCUUAAUCUAUUUGUUCUUGCCACAGUAGUUCUUAUUACAGCUUUCCAUGCUAUUUGGGUUUUUUCCACAUAGGGUAAUCAACCCUUAAAAUAUCUAGAUAGGUGACUGGACAGCAAAAUUCACCUAUCUGAGACACUAACACAGAAAUUAGUGAAAAUCUGGUAUUUGAGACUUAAUGUUACCAACUUCUCAAAUUCUUUCCAGUGGUAGUUUUCAACGUGCAAACCCCAGAGGAUCAUACCUGACAAAUGUAUAUUCUUCUGCAAGUAGCCAUGGGGGGUGACAAGAGUGAGGAUUAUCAUGAUAAAGGGCAUGUUUUGGUAUUUCAUUAUUCACUUACUGUGGUGUAUACGUGGAAAAAGUGGAGCAAACAGGAAGAGUCUGCUAAGGGGAAGGGGGGUUUUUCCCCACAAAAUGCAUAUAUAUCAAUAGUAAAUGCCUACAGUGGGUCCACCAAAAAUAGGUCUGUCUGAAGGAGAGAGGAGAAAAACCUCUAGAAAAUCAUUCAAAGGCAGGUUAGACAGUUGUAUUCUGUUUUAUAGUUCUCUCUGUAAGUGUAUUUUACAUGGAUAUAGCCCCAUCUGUUACAUGAGCGAAGUCUAAACAGCUCUUCCAUUGACAGAUUAGGAGGAAUUUAGCCAAAUCAUUCCUCCAUAAAUGCUUUCUAUGUAGUCAUUCAAGAAGCUCUUCAGAUUCAUUCCAAAUUCAUUGGAAUAAUGAGUGUGAAGGCCUAAAUUCAUUCACUGAAUCAGCACCUGAAAACUCUUGUCUGCUAUCCCUCUUCUGAGCAAACACUCUCAGCCUCAACAGCCUUGUUCUGGAUUCUUUUUUGCAGUUUGAACGGUUUGUUACAGCAAUAAACAGGGAGUGCUUUGGAUUUCUGACUGAGAUUGCAUUUGUUGCACAUAAUCUUUUUUAUAACACUUAUAUUUGUUAAUGAGUACAGCGGAGGAAUCUGUCAAAAUUAGUUAUGCAUUGAUGUUAAAUUCAAGUUCAGAAUAAGUGUGAAUUGUGUAGCCUGGUUAAAUUAUGAAUUGACAUUUAUCAUCUGCCAUCCUAACUCUUACAUGGAACAGAAGAGAUUAAGUAGAUCCAUACUUUUAGACAAGAUUAAGCAAUGUUUUUCUGUUAAUCAAGUACCUUAUGACCACCUUUUAAUAAAAAUCUUUGCUUUGAUCAGGAUACAGAGCAGCAAGCAGACUGCAGCUACCAGAGGAAAUAUGACCCUCAUCAAAGAAAAUGAGUGAGCAAACAAAAACACCAAGAGAAGAAGGGGUAUGUAUGUUUAAGGCCCUUAGUGGGUUAAGUACCUUUUCAGCAAUUUACAGUAUGGCCUAGAUGGCCCUUAAAUGAGCUACUGAAAUGAUGGCAAUCCAUAAGUCUUGAAACAUAUUUCUAAGGAGAUUAGAAAGUGUGGUUGUAGAGACCUGUAUAAUUCAGCAGGGGUCCGGGCCUGUUCAAAGGGACUAAACCAGAGCAUUGCUUAGACAUGGAAACUCUGCAAGUGAUUGUAAAAGCAGAAAGUUUUAGAAACAAAAUAUAUCUUUUAAAGCAAUAUAUGAACUGAAAAUCUGGGUAAAUAAACCCAUUACAGGCAUUUUUUUUAAGUUUCAUGCUUUCACAAGGGGUUGGACUAGAUGACCUCCUGAGAUUUUUUUCAAUUUAAAUUUCUCAAUGAUUUUGUGAAAUGCAUUUGGCCCCUUGGCACAGAAAGGUAAAUACUGGCAUCAAUAUUUAUAGCUCAGCAAUGUAAAUUUUCUCUAAAAUCACAUAUCAAAAUUAUAAUUUGAAGAGCUGAUAAUCAAAAGUCCUCCAUCUUCAGUAUGAGAUACACCUAAAGCGUAUUUUCUCACUUCUUCCAUAAGCUAUAGAUAAUAUUCUGCUGUAACCUCUCUGCUAUGAUACCACUUUUUAACCCCCUCAUAUUUAUGUUGGUUUUCCUGCCUAUUGUUUUGUAAGCCUCACAGCAAUGUUACAUUUAUUUAGUUUAUUUUACUUCUACUGUCUCUGGAUUAUCAAUAGUGUUAUUAUUAUUACACAUUUCUGAUCACAGAUAGUAUUCUGCUUCCUUCAGCCUUUUAAAGUUGCAAGGAAGUGUUUCAUCUGCAGGCAUGAAGGAGCAAAAACAAAUCUUCUGUCAUUAAGAAUCUCCCAUGACCAGUUCUUCAGUGACAGUCCAGAUCUGUACAAAGAUCCAGAACACUGUACAAAGUUGCAGGAGCAGCAGAACCAGCUGUGGAGAGGGGCUGGAGAGUACAGAGCUCUGCAGUCAGCUUUGGACCCUUGUCCCUCUUGGGGACUGGGUACAAAUGGUAAGAAGCAUGAUUGUCUCUGCUUUGGCCUUGCCAAGCUGGUGUAAUUAUUGCUGGGAGCUGUUAACCAGACAGUUUAAAUUCCAGUUUAAACUGAAUCGACAUUUGUAACCAAGUAGUAAAAAAUUGGCAAUUGACCAAUUCAGCUAGAGUUAGAUUGGUUAUUUAACAUUCAAUUUUUCUCCUCCACUUAAAAUUUUUAACAAUGUAGGAAAUGCUGGGGGACUGGGACUGUGGUGAUGUUGAUUUGGAGUUCUGAGCAGGUAAUAUAUUUUGUAUGGCUGAAUGUUUGUAGUAUCAAAAACUUCCUUAAUGAUGUUUGUUUCCCUUCCACUAAUUCUGCUUCAGUUUCUGUUGCUGUAGAUUGGGAGAUCUAUCAAAAAAAUACUCAUGUGAGCUACACAGUGUUUGCAAAGGACCACAUCAAGUUUUCACAGAGAAGCAAUGUACUUUCCUCAUAACCAGUCAGUAGUAGAGCACCUGCUCUUCUUGGAAGAAAUUUCAGCACAUGGCUGUUGCAAAUAGUAUUUUGUCAGACUGGGCACAAGUCUACAGAUUCUGAUUUGGCAAUACUCACCGAGGUCUCCACUUGGAGAAGCCAGGCACAGGAAACAGCAGGUCUGAAACCCCUCCUGAUGUUGCUCAGGUGGCUGACCCUGAUGUGUGUCCUAUGGAGGGCAGGAGGCUCAGGCAACUCCACCCUGCCACUGCCACCAGGAGAGCUCUGCGUGUUUCCAGGCAGGUGAAACCUUUUAUUUUUGUCUGUUUAAGGAGAUCUUAUGUAUAGAUUUUAAUUGGGGGUGGGGAUCAUUUUGCUUUAUCUUAGGUUUUCCAUCAGAUAUUAGAAUCACAUCUUUCUUUUGUGCCUAUGGACAGCAGGAGAUUUGGAAGGACUGGGACAUCAAAAGCACCAAAGGACAAAGGCACUUUUAUUCCGAGGUUAGAGCUUGAGGUUUCCUGCCUCUUGCUAACACCUAUUUAACGAACGUGCCUCAGGGAAAAACUCUUUUUGUUAACGGUUCAACCAUCUUUUUCCCCAGGGAAUUACCAGUAUCCAUUUAUUUCCUGGCAGAGUAAUUAGGCCACUCAGAGCUCUGUGCUGCCAUGGCUACACUGCUUCAGGUACCUGCACUGCUAAGCCAGGUUAAAGGGAGCUCUGGUAUCUGUGUACUGCAGUCAUGGCUGAAAGUAGCCAUACCCUACAAUAAAAAAAGCAAAAAUAAGACUUGGCAUUCCUGAGCAGACAGAAAUGGACAGAACUUUUAUCUUCUUUGGUGUCUCCUCUCUCACUUCAGAAUUUGCGGGGUUUUUGACUAAUUACCCUAUAAAGAAUAAAAAUUUUAAAACAAAGGUUAAAAGGGCAAGACACAAGUCUUUUUCUUUUUGCAAUAAACCUCAAUGCAGUAGAUGUUAAAUAAUAUGUUUUCCUAUUACUGUCUUUACAUGUGUGCCAAAGCAUAACAACCAAUGUUCUGUUUAUUCUACAGAGCUGUGUAUGAGAUCCUUCCUUGUUUUGAAUUAUAUUCUGCUCUUUGGGUCACAGUGUUUUAAUUCCUGUUAAGCUGGAGAAAAGAUCCAGAUAUAGCCUACUGGAAUUAGAAAUAAUGUCAACAACAAGCAAUAUUUAUUUUCUGAAAAUGUAUCAUAGGUAAAGCCCACCUGCUAUAUGGAUUUUCACUGGGCACACUUCCAAUUUUUCUAUUAAGUUUGACCUUCUGCAGGGAAAAAAAAUCACAGAAAGUUCAAUAUCACAAAUUUAUGUCAAAAAUCAGUUGAUUUGAACAAGAGCCAAUCAAGGAAAAAAAUUACUUUCCAGAAAUCAUAGGACACUGGGUUAUAAAAAUUAAAUUUAAGGCUUAUACUGGAAAAUGAUACAUAGCCACUACCUGGAAAAGCCAGACCCAACCCCCCCAGUUGCUACCUUGAAAGACAUAGAGAAAAAUCUUAGUGAUAGGCUGGCUGUGGAGAACCCUGCAUCUGAGCUGAGUCCAGAGAAAUAUGUUUGUGUUUGACAUGACAUUUCUUCACCAUAGAGAGUCAUUUUCAAAGAAUAUGACUUCCAGUCUUACUAGAUUUGCAGGUUACACACUGGAAUUAACGGGAUUUGUUUGUACAUUAUGUGCUUGUCAGGAGACACUAUGCAACAGAUCUCUGUGCAAAGCUCGACUGAUGCUGAAACAUGGAAAAAUAUAUCUUAGUUGUAUCCAACAAAAGUUUGGCUGAAACAGCUGCCUGAGAAAACACCAUGUAUUUUGCUGGGGGUGGGGGGGAAUUGGUUCUGGGAAACUCUAAUGUGCAGCUUUGUGUUCUUCUCUUCCUUAUCCUGAAUUUCAGAAAUUGUAAUUGAAGCCUCCAUGUUCACAGGAAAUUUUGCUCUAAUUAUGUAUCCCCAAAACUGUGGUAGCACGUCUUACCCUGUGUGCCUUUUUUAUUGUUUCCACACUGUAGUGCUGCACACAGGUUUGAUGUCCUCUCCCAGUCAGUCAGACACCCUGCCAUUUGCUGCAGAGUAUGUGUCAAGUCCUGAGUCAGAAGACUGAAUGCUAACUAACAUGGCCUGGAUCCAGAAAUCUUCAAGGAUAGCCUCCAGAAAAGUGUGAUGGGGACAGGCAUUGUAUCAGUUAGAAUCUGCAGAGCCGUUUUGUGGGGGCUGGCCCCAGGCUGAGCUUGACUUUUUUUUUUCACAGGUGAAGACUCUACUCCUUGGAGUUGCCCGUAUAAAAACACUGGCAAAAAGAAAGGCUCCUUCACCUCCUGCUGUGAAAUAAAAGGCCAUUGGAAGCCCUUCUGAGGUCAGAAUGAACUAUAAGUCCUAAAGAAAAUAGGAAUGAGGAAAACAGCUUAGCAUAUAGACCACU